rnacentral:rRNA from 1 species
UACAGAGGGGGCAAGCGUUGUUCGGAAUUAUUGGGCGUAAAGCGCGUGUAGGCGGCUCCGCAAGUUGGGUGUGAAAUCCCUCGGCUUAACCGAGGAAGUGCGCUCAAAACUACAGAGCUUGAGUACCGGAGAGGGUGGUGGAAUUCCCGGUGUAGAGGUGAAAUUCGUAGAUAUCGGGAGGAACACCAGUGGCGAAGGCGGCUCACUGGACCGGUUCUGACGCUGAAGCGCGAAAGCGUGGGGAGCAAACGGG